UGCGACAGAAUAGUGUGAUAAAUUUAAGAGUUAUUUAUAAAGU
rnacentral:tRNA from 1 species